rnacentral:rRNA from 1 species
GUGUCAGCAGCCGCGGUAAGACAGAGGUGGCUAGCGUUGUUCGGUGUUACUGGGCUUAAAGCGUGUGUAGGCGGAGAAGUAAGCGUCUUGUGAAAUCCCUCGGCUCAACCGAGGAAUUGCUUGAUGUACUGCUUCUCUUGAGGCAAGUAGAGGUGCAUGGAACUCUUGGUGGAGCGGUGGAAUGCGUAGAUAUCAAGAGGAACGCCGAUGGUGAAGACAGUGCACUGGGCUUGUCCUGACGCUGAGACACGAAAGCGUGGGGAGCGAACGGGAUUAGAUACCCCGGUAGUCCACGCCCUAAACUAUGUCUACUAGGUUGUGGGAGUUCUGACACUGCCGUAACCGAAGCAAAAGUGUUAAGUAGACCGCCUGGGAAGUACGGUCGCAAGGCUAAAACUCAAAGGAAUUGACGGGG